CCGUCACGCCUUCCCGCGCCUAUAAAUGGCCACCCAAGCCUCGCCGCCGCUCCACUUCACCUGCACUGCACACAUGCACGCCGCGACCGGCCCCCGGCGCCGCAAGCACACCCCACACACACUUGCUCUGGCCUGAAUAUCCGCCCCGGAGGCAACUCCGGCAUGGUGACACGCCUGCCCUUUCCCCUGCCCUGCCGAGCUCUGCUCCGGCGAACCGUCCCUGCCACCCCAAAAUACUCCACCCACCGGCCACCACGGUUCAAUUACCCCGGCGGUGAGAUCCUCCUCACCUCCCUCUACCUCUGCCCGGCUCCAAUUUCCCCUCCCACUGCCCGCACUGGGCUAUCCGCGAAGCUCCAGUGGCCGCGGCCAUGGCGCCCAUGGCGGGCCCUCUCAUGCGCUUCUCUUCGCAGCGAGAACCCCCUCGGAAGGUUUCGCCUCGUCCUCCUCUCUCUUCCAGCACUCUCAGAUCGGAGAUUGGUGGUCGGGAGCUCGCUCUAGCGUGCCUCCGGCGAGCGCCUGUUGCUGCUCGCGGCGGCGCGUCGGAGGCCGAGGGCAGCUGCUCUGUUCGGUCUCUGUACCCCUCCGUCAAAACUCCCUCCACCAAAUUCCUUCACACAAUGCACAUGACGUGUGGGCCCAGCCCCUUGAUCUCUAUCGGCGCCCAUUUUUGCAGGGUCUGAACGUGUUUAGCCCACUUGCUAAUCACGUGAAGCGGCAUAUCCAGUACCAUUCGUUGUGUACCAUUCUUUUUCCAAUCCGCCUACUUCCAAAGCCAAUAUCUUCCCAUAUCGAUUCCAAUUCCGUCGAUUCUUCUUCCUAAAUUCAUCUUAAAUCGGGCUCUACGCAACCACGCUAGUCGCCUGAGUUUCGCCUCCUCCAAGGCCCGCCUACAAGUUAGUGCCACAUACGGCACCAUAGGCGCGGACCGUUGACACCAGCACGUAGCUCUGCUCGUGAGCAAUCCAUAGGGGUGGGCAAAAUAUAACCGAAACCGAUUAACCGAACUGAACCGAACCAUUUUAACCGCAAAAGUCGGUUAAUUCGGUUAACGGUUAAUUUUGCGGUUAAAAUUUUUGAGAUAUUCUUUAACCGCAUAUUAUUUCGGUUUUGAUGUGCCACUAACCGAUUUAACCGAUUUAGCAAGUUGAGUGUAAUAUGUAUUUAUCUUAUGUCUUAAAUAUAUGUAUAAUCAUGUGAGAUAUCAAGAAUUCUUGGUUUUCAUAAUUAAGAUAUCUAAGUGAGGCUACAUUAAUUGUUUUUCUAGCUUUCUAAACUUAUUUUAGUGGCCAAUAGCUUGUAGUUGAUGUCAUAAUUUCAUUCUAAUUUGCUUGUUAUUUAUGUAUUGUAUACAUUACGGUUAACCGCAAAACCGAACCGAUUUAACCGCAACCGAAUUUACGCGGUUAAAAGAUUUCUAGCUACAAUUUCGGUUAAGAGUUUGUCAUAACCGAAAUAUUUCAAAACCGAAUUAACCGAACCGAUUUAACCGCACUAACCGAAUGCCCAACCCUAGCAAUCCAUCAAUAUUUUCUGUUCUUCCCGAAUCCAAAAAUACGAUUUUAUUCCUCAGUUUCCAAAAAAUCGGAUUUUUCUUCCUUUUCUUUUUCUUUUCCAAAUAUACAAAAUUCCAUAGCUCCUCCGUUCGAACUCCGAUUUGGGCGACUCUCGCGCCUAAAAUCAUCUGAAAUCAAGCUCUAUCCAUCCACAUACCCCACUUAGUCUUUUCCUCAGGCCAGAAGACACCGUCAUGCCACCAUGACGCCAUCCUACGCCCAAUAUAUGCUUCACACUAGACCCACAAAUAUUGGGUGCUUGGUGUGAUGCCGUUGUCUUUCUACUCUCUACCAGAACCAACGCCGUUGGCUACAACAGAGAGUCCGUUCGGUCUGCCUCUCGCGGUGUACUACGCGAUGGACAACGCUCCCUACGCCCAGCACUUAUGAAUCAACCGCUUCAGCAAAGCAUACGGCAAGCCCACUGGAAUCCCCACUUGAUGCAUAAAAUUCCUAUGUUUUACAAAUACAACCCUUGGCCUGUUAAUCACUAUAAAACUUGCAUGUUUUGCUAGCUAAGGUUCACCCCGCCGAUUAUACAGCCACCUAAACCUAUUUUAGAUACAGUGCGCAUAGAUGGGAUCGCUCAUUUAAUUAUAUCUCUCGAAAUCUUGAUGUUAAAGUUUGGAUUAUGAUUGUGGAACUUGAUGAUAAUGGGAAAUGAGGGUGGGUGUAUUUAAAAUAAAAUGGGGAAGAACCCCGGCAAAUGACCCACGGGUCAGGAUACGCCAUUUAAAGGGUAAGGUAGAACGGGUAAUUUGCAUUGCGCAAUUACCCCAUGUCCCGGGAUUCGUGGAGAAGACCGGGUAGGUGGAUGCUCGCGGUGUCGAGCAAUGGAAAGUUGGAGUGGCUCUACCUACGCUCUGUAAGGACCACAUUGAUUUACAUCUUGCCUAACUCUUUUAGUACAACCACUCGCUCUGUAUGAGGCAUUGACCGGGCCCGAUCCAGAGUGGAUAGCCUAGUAGCCUCUGUGUUGGCGCACAAGGGGCAGGGGAAGGGGUUGUGUGCCGAGGGGGUGUCGAGGGACACCAGGGUGUGGCUCGGUGGCCUGAACCCCUAAAGAGCUGCUAGGUGAUGAAGCAAAGGCAAAGGCUUGGUUUGGAAUUCGGAUGCUUAUUUGGCCGUAAGUGUCGCUGAGUCCGACUUGUGGGAAUUAGUACAACCUCUGAUCAGAGUAAAACCUAUUCGAAUAGUCCGCGUCCACUGGUAUGGAUGGGUUAUGGCAUUGGUACUUCGAAUAGAUUUCAUAAACUAAAAUUGUUGGGAAUGGUUUGGUUUGUGGUAAUGUGUUGGAAAAUGGUUUGGAACAUGUGUUGGCUUGGAAGUUAUUGACCAAGUGGACCGGUAAGUCCAAUGUCACCCUUUUUGAGAAAAACCCUGCUUCCUGAAUAACUAAAACUUGAUAGACUAGCUCGAACCCGGCAUACAAAAGGCUUCUAUGCAAAACUUCACUGAGCUACAGAUAUACCCUGCAUUUAGAUAUAGAUAUACCCCUUCUUCUUACAAGAGGAAGGUGGCUUGUUGAGUACGUAAGUACUCACCCUUGCUUUGUUGAUGUUUUUCCAGUGGAGACGAUGAGAUCACCCUAUUUGGAAGCGAUUGAGGGCUACGACCUACUUCCCAACUGUGACGUGUGGUAGUUGGGCCUACGUAUUGUAUUCCGCUGCUUAGUUUUAGGGCUGCGCCCCUGUGUUGUCCGACCCGAUAGGGCAGAUCUGUAUCACUCUGAUGUAUGAAUGUGAUUACCAAACCCUGGGAUGGUAAUAAACACAUUUUAGUCCCAUUAUGGGAACUGGGGCGCUUCACGCGUCGACGAGGUGGGGCCACGCCGGAGGAGUCCGUGGCGCGGCUCGGCGUGGCGCCGGAGGAGGCGACGGCGCGACUCGGCGGGGCGCCGGUGGCGAGACGGCCUCGGCGGGGGCAGUGGGAGCUAAGGAGAUGGAGAGGAUAAGAUAAGAUUGGUGGUGGUGGUGGGUGCUGCGUGGACCAUUAAAUGACAUGCUCUCAAUACCACGAGCGGUGCCAUCCACCACCGCUCCUGCUAGUUGCAUCAGUAGAAACGGUACAAAGCAUCCACCACUCCUGCUAUUUUUAGGAGUAGUGGAUAGUAUCGACCGCUCCUACUUACUAGCAUCAGUAGAAGCGGUGCAUGGUUCCAACCGCUACGGUAAGAAAAAUAGUAGGAGCGGUGGGAACUAUGCACCGCUCCUGCUAGGGGCGCCUCAGCAGGAGCGGGUGGUGUUUUCCACCGCUCCUGCUAGCAGCCCUCAACAGGAGCGGUGCAUGGCACCACCCGCUCCUGCUAUUUGUAGAAGCGGGUCUGCCCGUGCACCGCUCCUGCUGAGGAUGUAGCAGGAGCGGCUUACCCAGUGGAGCCCGCCUUGAGACCAACAGGAGCAGCUCCUUAUUGGAGCCGAUCUUACAGUGGUUUUGGUGGCGCUCCUGCAGUGCGUUCCUGUCGUAGUGUGAUACUGCCCCCGAAAUCUUCAUUCUGAUCAAUGAAUGCGCCCUUGUGAAAAAACCUUCUCUCAGCUGUCUCGUCGGACGCGACACUUGUUCUGAAUUUACUGCACACCGUAGCGAUAUUAGUAUAGGCCUCAUUUGGAUUAUUACAAGCUUAAUUGCUAGCCACUAACCUUUACUAGCCAUAGAUGACUCCUGCACUCAUGAGCUUAGUUCUGCACGUUCAUACAUGGAGUGACCAUGCCAUCAUCGUGUUCGCUUGACAGAUGCGCAAUGAAGUCGAUCGUCCACAACUCAGUAACUCACCAUCGCCUUUUGUUUUGGAAGGAAAAACUAAGAUCCGCGUUUUGACUAAUGACGCUAGUAUUUUUUAUUGGAGUGUAGCGAUAGACACAAUUAUUGAUGAUAUAGCCUGAUAAAGUUCAAAGGUUUCUAUCACUA